rnacentral:rRNA from 1 species
UACGAAGGGGGCUAGCGUUGCUCGGAAUCACUGGGCGUAAAGCGCACGUAGGCGGAUCUUUAAGUCAGGGGUGAAAUCCUGGAGCUCAACUCCAGAACUGCCUUUGAUACUGGGGAUCUCGAGUCCGGGAGAGGUGAGUGGAACUGCGAGUGUAGAGGUGAAAUUCGUAGAUAUUCGCAAGAACACCAGUGGCGAAGGCGGCUCACUGGCCCGGUACUGACGCUGAGGUGCGAAAGCGUGGGAGCAAACAGG